rnacentral:rRNA from 1 species
GAACGCUAGCGACAGGCCUAACACAUGCAAGUCGAGGGGCAGCACGAGUAAGCUUGCUUACUUUGGUGGCGACCGGCGCACGGGUGCGUAACAGGUGUGCAAUCUGUCCAUAAUCGGGGAAUAGCCCAGCGAAAGUUGGAUUAAUGCUCCAUGUGAGUUUUAGAGGCAUCUCUUUAAUUUGAAACGUAAGGAUUAUGGGUGAGCACGCUUCUGAUUAGGUAGUUGGUGAGGUAACGGCUCACCAAGCCGACGAUCAGUAGGGGUUCUGAGAGGAAGGUCCCCCACAUUGGAACUGAGACACGGUCCAAACUCCUACGGGAGGCAGCAGUGAGGAAUAUUGGUCAAUGGGCGAAAGCCUGAACCAGCCAAGUCGCGUGAAGGAUGAAGGUUCUAUGGAUUGUAAACUUCUUUUAUUCGAGGGUAAAACAGCGGACGUGUCCGCUCUUGCAAGUAUCGAAUGAAUAAGCAUCGGCUAACUCCGUG